CGUCCAAACAAGGUCAAGUUCCAACCCUUUGGGCGCGGGCCGCGGGCGCAGACGGGCGGGGCUUGGGGCCUCUCGGCCGCCGUUUCUCCGUCUUUCUGCGGCCCCAGGCUGGGUGCGGGAGGGCGUCGCCGGUACUGCCCCUCUUCCUGUCACCCCAGGGCGGCCUCUGGGCGGCGGCGGUGAUUCAGGGUCCGGGAUAUUGGAGGACACUGGCCGGGUGGGUCCCUUACGUCACGUCACAAGGCAGCCUGGGGGAAGUCUGCGCGGCCGCCCAACCCCAGCACGUGCCGCCGAGGAUGCUAGCCUACCUACCUUUUGUAAGCCAAGCGUUACCUCCUGAGUGAAUCUAGCUACGCCCCCACAAGUUGGAACUGGAACCAAUGCCCCUAUUACGGAGGAAGAAAUGCACUCUGAAACGCUAAAUAUUUCCCGUGGCCCAAGAAAAACUGGUGAUGAAGCUACAGCUGAUUACUAGUUGGAAAAGAACAAUGGUAAAUACUCAGAGCCAUUUGUCAAAAUGCUGAAACCGUUGAGCAAAAAUUCCAGUUUCUUCUCUGGUAAUUGUGCAAGAUGACCUGCUUUAGAAAGAGAGGGGCUUCAAAAUGCUUUGGUUCAAGCAUCAUGGGAUCUUCUUUGUUUGCCUGUCUCAAAAUGAACAGAGGCUCUGCCAUGUGCUACUGGCUUCUGUCUCUGACCUCAACAAGGGUAUCCCAGGUGUUCAUCAUUUCCCAGAUGGUGAAGAAUGGAACAGAAGACUGUAUGGCUAGAAGCUUUCUUUUGAGGAGAGUGUCAAGAAACAUGCCCUCUUAGCUCAAAAAGCUGCACAGUUUUCCAGAACUGUCAAGUGACCAUAAUUUUGACUGGUAGAAAAUCAGAGGAUGAGAUCUACAAAAAUAUGCAAGUGGGGUUUCUGUUGUUAAGAGGCAAGAUAGAAUAUAUAAUGAAGAUAUCAAACUAAUCACAAUAUAUUUUGUUGUCCUUUAUAUAUUUUUAAUAUCACUUUAGGGGAAAAUAACAUGCAUAUUUAGUGUCUUGUUUUGCCCUCUGUUGUUUCAAUAGACUGUGGCUAAAAGUAACUUGAAGAGGAAAGGAUUUGUUGGUUUAUAUAUCCUGAGUCAUAGUCCAUUCAGGAAAGCCAAGGAAUUAACUGGAGGCAGGAACUGAAACAGAGACCAUGAAGAAGUAACGAGAUGCUUCUGAUGGAUUAAUCAGCCUGCAUUCUUUGACUACUUAGGCCCUCCUCCAUCAAUCAUUGACUAAGAAGAUGCUCCUACAGAUUUGGGUUACAGGUCAAUUUGAUGGAGGCAUUUUCUCAGCUGAGAUUUCCUCUUCUCAGAUGAGCCUAGCGUGUGUCAACUUGACAAAACUAACCAGCAAAUUUAGAAACUUUUUUUAGCUUCUAAGUGACUCACAAAGCUAUAUAUUUUCAGCAGAGAUAUGAUUUUAAAAACUCAGACUUAAUCAGCCCUAAGUUAGCAAUCAGUAGGAACAUUGUAGCACAUUUUGUUUCAUUCUCUGUACCAUUGACUUUACUCUUGGGUGCAUUUUCAGUGCUGUUGAGAAUACUCUAAACUUCUACCCUGUGCUUCCUGAAGUGUUCCGUAAGAUCUGGGUAUCCUACUAAUGUAUCUGAUGGUGGGAACUAUUUAAGGCAGAUAUAUAAAGUGGGAAUGGGGAUGCUGCUAAGGGAGUGCUUGCUCAGCAUUCAUGAAACCCUGGCUUUGAGUACCAGGUGUGUGGAACAAACACCUAGUAAUCUUAGCACAACGGAGUUGAAGGCAGGAGGAGAGGAAGUUCAAGGUCAGCAGGCUACAGAGUGAGGUUCAGGCCAACAUGGGAUAUUUAGGACUCUUCAAAAAAUGGGAAAAUGGUAAACAAGAUAAAUGCUUUUAUAAGAAGUGAACGUUAGGGGAAAAGAGUGUGGUGUUUUGAACAGGAAUGGCUCCUAUAGAUUCAUUUGAAUACUUAGUAAUCAGGAAAUGGUACUAAGGAUUAGAAAGUAUGGCCUUGUUGGAGGAAUUAUGUCUCUGGAAGUGGGCUUUGGUGUUUCAGAAGCCUAAGCCAGGUCCAGUGGCUCUCACUUCCUGCUGAAAUUUGGAUCCAGAUAUCAAUCUCUCAGCUACCAUGUUUGCCUGCAUGCCAUUGAGCUCCCCACCAUGAAGAUAAAGGACUAAACCUCUAAAACUAUUAGCAAGCCCCAAUUAAGUGAUUUCUUUUAUAAGAAUUGCCAUGGUUAUGAUGUCUUCACAGCAAUAGAACACUGACUAAGACAGGGAGGUUUUCUUAACAACUGUAUGUGUUUUUCUCCUUAGUUUUUACUCCUCACCUCUGUGAAUAUAUAUAUAAAACGUUGCUGAUUACAGCCUAGUUUAGAUUAUAAUAGCAAUAGUUUCUGGCUUCAGCAUCUCCCUACCCUGACCAACACUCUUUUAUCCAUUCAUUCGGUUACUGAGCUUUUCCUAAGUUCACUUUUUUUCUAAAAGCUUCUGAAUAGUGAAAUACAUGUAUACCCAGGGAAGUGUGUGUGUGUGUGUGUGUGUGUGUGUGUGUGUGUGUGUGUGUGUGUGUGACUAAGGAAAUGUGGAAUACAGCACAUGCCACAUACAUGCUUUAUCACUGAAAUAUUUGGUCUUGUUCUCUAAGGUCCUAUUUAUUCCUUCUUUUCUAUUGCCUUCCACCAAGCUCUGCUCCCCACACUUGUAGCAGUUGCCGAUAUUUUCCCAAUUUAUGCUCACCAGUGAAAGUCUGUGAGGUAAAUAAGUAGGUAUAAAGCAUACUUCACUACAGAUAACCUGAAGCUGAAAAUGUCAUGAUUUACCACGUGUACUCAGCCCAGCUAAUGAUAGUGCCAAGGUUUCCCUGAGGUCUUUGAAGGACCUAUCAAGACACCGGGCACUGUUCCAUGGCAUUGAGUUAACUCUAGAAUCAACCACACUGCUUUCAGACCAAAAGAAACUGAGAAGCAGCAAUUCUUAGGUAACUGUAUGUUGGAAGUGUGUGAUAUGCUUCCUGAUUUUACAGGGGAUUAUAAAUAGAUUGCCUGAGUUUGGGCUUUUAAACAAUGUUGAGACUAUAAAAGACUAUAGGGACUUUUGAAUUUGAAGAACUGUUUUGCACACAACAGUAAGUUACAUGAUUUGCUACAUGCCUUCAUGGACCAGUGCUUGGAAUAUGGUGGUUUGAAUAAGAAUAUCCCCCAAAGGUGUAUAUAUUUGCAUGCUUGGUCCUAGUUGUUGGACUAUUUAGGAAGGAUGAGAAGGUAGGUUACUGGGGCUAGGCUUUGGGGUUUCUAAAGCCCACAUCAGUCCAAGUCCUUCCUUCUCUGCCUUCUGUUUAUGGAUCAGAUGUCACCCCAAGGUUUCCCUAGGGUCUUUUGAAGGACCUAUCAAGAUCCUACUCUUUGGCUACUAUACUGACACCAUGCUCACCUUCCUGAUAGCAGACUGCCUGCCAUGAUGGAAAUGGACUAACCAUCUAAAACUAUAAGCAAGCCCCUAGUUAAAUGCUUUUAUAAGUAAUCUUGGUCAUCAUGUCUUUUCACAGGGAUAGAAUAGUAACUAAGACAGGCAAACAAAGGGAAAUGGUUCCACCAAGACUUAAAUUGAAUUGCUUAUUUAUCUGGUAAGAAAAGUGAUUCCCAGAUAAUUGAGGAAAUCUAUACUCUGGUGUUGGAUAGCAUUAUGUCAGCUUGACACAAUUAAAAGUCAUCUGAGAGGAAGGAACCUCGAUUUAGAAAAUGCCUUCAUAAGACUGGGCUAUAAACAAGCCUGUAAGGCAUCUUAAUUCUUGACUGAUGGAGGAGAGCCCAGUCCACUGUGGGUGGUAUCACCUUGGACUGGUGGCCCUGGACUCUAUAAGAAAGUAGGCUGAGCAAGCCAUGUGGAGCAAGCCAGUAAGCAGCAC
rnacentral:sRNA from 1 species